AUUAAAAACUGCUUUGAUUUUUUUUUUUUUGUGUAAAACAGUAUUGUUUUCGCUUUCUGAGCAAAUGUGGAAUUUGAUAGAAGCCCUUUUAACAAAACGCCGUCGGUAUAUUUAUUUAUUUCAACCCACGUUUAAUACGUUGACACCUUUGUCACGUAUUUUAUCUUCGUGCCGACGCUACUCUCACCGAACAGAAUACAACAUUGUACAACAACAACCAUACAAUUAUUAAACCUCGCGGUCAAGUACAUCUACUCCCGAGUUGAACACACAAUUAAACUGAAAUAUCGAUACUAGGUACGCGCGAUCUGUGAAUAAUAAUUUGCUCCUAUUGAAUCGCAUAAUUUAUGCGUUUGAUUGAAACAGCUCCGUAUGCAAUGCGCGAAUAAUUACGCGGUUUUGUUCGUACGUGAAAAAUGCGAAUUACGCAACAUUGCUAUUUAAAUAUGCAAAAGUGCAAAACUAUUAUAUUGAUAUUCGUAAACCGUCUUUUAUCGUUGCACGAUUUCGGUAAUUCGCUUAUAUUUAUGUGCAAGUCGUAUUGCGGUUUCGCGGUAGUGGUCUUUGGUCCGGGGGUAGAUGGGUCCAAGGCGAGCGAUUUUGCGUACGGUUUACAAUACGGGCAAAAUGCAAUUUUUAAACUGCAUACACUUAUUUUGAAAAAAAAAAAAAAAACAAAAUUUUUACACGCAUGUAGUUUAUUCCAAAACAAUAAAGGGAAACGAUUAUUUAUAUAUUUAUACAUGAAAAAAAUCGUUAGCUCGACCCUCGGAGUAGUGUACAAAAAAAAAAAAAAACAGUUCCGAAGUGCGUAUUACAAAAUCGAAAAAAAAAAAAUUAAUUUCUUAUGGAUUUUAAUUCGGUUUAUAACAACAAUAUAAUAUCGUCUCAAACGACGACCGGACGAAAUUUUUAAUCAAGUAGCCACACAGUUUUCUUAAGCCGUUAUUGUUAUCAUUAAUAUUCCGGGCGCCACUCCGACGUCCAACGCGGGGAAAAUAAAUACGUGUUUGAGAUUGUUGUUAUUCGAGCGGCCGGUUUUCGGAUUCGUAUCAAUACUCGCGGGACGUUUCCGGUUAUUUUGUUUUCGGGUUGUUUUCCAUUCGACCCGCAGACGCGACGCUAAUAAUCCGGAUAAAAUAAUAUAAUAAUACAAAAUUUUAUAUUACACCGGAAAAUUCGUCGUCCUUUCAUUUGCUCCACGACAUGCGCGAAGCC